GGUCUGUGCAUGACUCACGAAUGUUUCGUGAGUCGACACUGAGUGCCAGAUUUGCCGGUGUAGAGUUCGAUGGUUACCUACUCGGAGACAGAGGGUACCCCUGCCAGCGCUAUCUGCUGACCCCUUACCCUGACCCUGAGCCUGGCCCACAGCGACACUACAACUUGGCUCACUGCAGGACACGAGCCAGAGUGGAGAUGACCAUCGGGAUACUCAAGGCCCGGUUCCAGUGCCUUCGUAGGCUCAGGGUCACCCCAGAGAGAGCUUGUGACAUUAUAGUGGCAUGUGUGGUUCUCCACAACAUUGCCACUAUUAGAGGAGAACAAUGUCCUACUCUUUCCCCCUGUGAUCCAGGUAUUAAUCAUACCCCCCCUGCUGAUACACGAGAUGGAAGAGCUGUUAGAGACAUGAUAUGUGUCAAUCAUUUCUAACUGACCCAUCACCUCCCCAAUGUUCAAGAACGACAAUAUGCAUCUCAUUUUAUGAGGUCUUCUUUAUUUCCUAGAAGGACAAAUUUUGUACAGUUGUUAAUCCUUUGUUGUUGAAACAAUUAAAAAACAUCCACCUGUGGGCACGUCACCCACCUUUAA